rnacentral:rRNA from 2 species
UAUACCUAUUCGAAGGGAUAGGGUCGGUUCGGCCGGAUUUUACACAAGUGUUGCAUGGCUGUCGUCAGCUCGUGUCGUGAGAUGUUGGGUUAAGUCCCGCAACGAGCGCAACCCUCAUCCUUAGUUGCUAUCAGGUAAUGCUGAGUACUUUAAGGAAACUGCCAGUGAUAAGCUGGAGGAAGGUGGGGAUGAUGUCAAGUCAUCAUGGCCUUUAUGGAGUGGGCUACACACGUGCUACAAUGGUGUCUACAAUGGGCUGCAAGGUGCGCAAGCCUAAGCUAAUCCCUAAAAGACAUCUCAGUUCGGAUUGUACUCUGCAACUCGAGUACAUGAAGUUGGAAUCGCUAGUAAUCGUGGAUCAGCAUGCCACGGUGAAUACGUUCUCGGGUCUUGUACACACUGCCCGUCACGCCAUGGGAAUUGGUUUCACUCGAAGCU